rnacentral:pre_miRNA from 1 species
UAGUUUUGUCUGAAGUCAAACUUUCUUAAGUUUGACCAAUUUAUAUAAAAGAUUAUCAAUUUUUAUAAUACUAAAUAGACAUAUUAUAAAAAUAUAUUUUAUUAUGGAUCUAAUGAUACUUAUUUGGUUUCAUAAAAAAUUAGUAAUUUUUGUAUAAAUUUGAUCAAACUUAAGAAAGUUUGACUUCAGACAAAACCAA